AAGCUGAAGAAGACCGAGGUAACGGUGAAAACAAACUACUACAAAAUAUCCGCACCUUGCAAAAUCGUAGUUAGUGAUACUAUUUUUGCCUUACCGAAACACAUUUAGCCAGAUUUCAUACCACCAAUAUCCUCCGAUUCACUUAAACACACCCGCUGCUUUGCUCCAAUCGACGUCAAUAUUUUUAGCCAACGCUAUAUAAUAUCAAAAAUAUUGGCUAGCCUAGCCACCAGCUAUCGUUAGCUCGCAGCUAACUUAGCUCUCGUCGGGAGUCUCGACGCGGCCUCGGCUCCGGAGCGGUUCAGCGGCGAGACUAGUGGAUUGCAAGAUGUCAGACGAUUAUGAGUUCGCCGACGACGCGGCCAUGAUGAGGAUGGAGGAGGACGGGGAGGCGAACAGCGACGACCCGAUGUCGGCGGCUGGCGACGGUGGCCCGCUGGGGGGCGAGGCCGAGGGAUCCCGAAUUGACGCCAGUAAAAACGAGGAGGACGAAGGGAAGAUGUUCGUCGGAGGGCUGAGCUGGGACACGACCAAGAAGGAUCUGAAAGAUUACUUCUCGAAGUUCGGGGAGGUCGUGGACUGCACAUUGAAGCUGGACCCCAUGACUGGGCGCUCGAGGGGUUUCGGCUUCGUGCUCUUCAAAGACCCAGACAGCGUUGACACGGUUGUCUCGCAAAAGGAACAUAAACUCAACGGGAAGGUCAUCGACCCCAAAAAAGCCAAGGCGAUGAAGAGCAAGGAGCCAGUGAAGAAGAUAUUUGUCGGCGGCCUCUCUCCAGACACUCCUGAGGAGAAAGUCAGAGAGUACUUUGGUGCCUUCGGAGAGGUGGAGUCAAUUGAACUGCCCAUGGAGACCAAAACAAACAAAAGGAGAGGCUUCUGCUUCAUCACAUUCAAAGAGGAGGAACCAGUCAAGACGAUCAUGGAGAAAAAGUACCACAACAUCGGACUGAGCAAGUGUGAAGUAAAGCCGGCAAUGUCUAAGGAACAAUACCAGCAGCAGCAGUACUGGGGAGGAGGCAGAGGUGGCUACUCCUCCAGGUCUCGAGGAAGAGGUGGUGGUCCCAAUCAAAAUUGGAACCAGGGUUACGGCAACUACUGGAAUCAAGGCUAUGGCAAUUAUGGCAAUUAUGGUUACAAUAAUCAAGGAUAUGGAGGAUAUGGCGGCUAUGAUUACCCCGAUUACAACAGCUACUAUGGAUACGGUGACUACGACAGUUUCUUUGUGCCACACUCGUAGAUCAAUCUGCUGGAUAUGGCAAGUCGCCACGGCGUGGUGGUCACACCAACAGUUACAAGCCAUAUUAAAGGGGGAAACCCUCGUCGUCAAGUAGCGGAGCUUCCUUGCAGGCCAUGAGCUGACUCCCAGAUACUCUCAGGGCCCGCUCAAUGCGGACUGGGUACGAGAAGCAUACGCUCUCGAAUGCUGCCAUUUGGUAUGGUCUUACAACAUCCUGUAUCCGCAUUUCUGAACUGAACAAUAUGGGACACGUCCAGCUUUGUCAUCUUUCUUUCUAUUUUAAUUUCUUUGCAACUGUAUGUCAUGUAAAAGUAAAAAAAUAUACACAUGUAAUUGUCAUUUUUUACAGGCCCUUACUCCCCCACAAGUAAUGAUUAUUAAUAUGAGAAAAUAACUAUUUGCUUUUCAAAGGAUAUGUACAGCAUUCUCUGGACUUUCCAGUUUCCAUUGUUGCUAGAUGAAUUUCUAAUCUUAAUCUAAAAUGCUUGUUUCUUUAUUUAGCCUGUAGUCCAUGAGCUAAAACCUGGUUCGUAUUUGGACUCUACCGUGUUGGGGGAUAAAGUGCUUUACUUUGUGUACAUGUAUUGUUCUGUUUUGUUUUACUGACAGCGAUGGAAAAGACUCCUCUUUUCUCAAUUUUUCCUGUAACAAAUUUUCUCUUAUAACCUUUUGUAAAACAAGAAGUGUCACUACAUUUCCAGUAAUUUGCAUGUAAUGCUGUCUUUUAAUGUGUAUUAUUGACCAGUCAAAGGUUUCUUCCAUUUAGUAUCUUUGGCUUCUUCAAUUUAUCACGCCUCAGGAUUUCUAGCUUAUGGACUAACUUAUUUUUAAAACUGUAAAAUGUUAAAUUAAUUGUUCUCAGAUUGUUUUUUCUUAAUUGUUUUUUUUUUUUUUUUACAUUGGACAUUUUAAACACCGGGAUUCCUAUUUUAUUGUAAUAGUGACAGUGUUUUGAUUGUCUAUAGCUGAUUUGUUUUUGUUUGUUUCCCAUAGGUGUCACAGUGAUGAAAGACUGCAGUGCACAGGUGAAGCAUUGGCCAAAGAGAUGGCGGUUUCCAGCAAAGGUCACUUAGCUGAUUGUUAGACUAUAAAUGAAGAACAUUAUGACUACAGUACAUUUCCUCUAUAUAUUUACCAGAGUAUUUGUUGUAUCUUAAAAGUUUUUGCAUUUUAGUGUUUUGCAGUUAUUUAGAUUGUUUUAGCACUUCCUUGUCCCUUCCCGUUUUCGUAUUUAAUGUUUUCAGUAGCUCUUUGUGAAUUGCUUGAUUUAUUGCAUAACUGAAACUUUAGACUGGUUGGAGCAUAUGACAUAUAAUCAAGUACUGUGACAGCAAAGAUACAAAAUGCGUUAUAAUUUAUCCUCUUUAUCAUAGUCAUCAGUCAUAUAAUACAUUAUGUUAUUACAGAGUUUGACAGUCAUAAACAUACAGUAUAUGUACACAGUGUAUUGGCAAAAGAAAUGCAACAAAUAAAAAACAAUAAACACA